rnacentral:rRNA from 1 species
UACGUAGGGUGCAAGCGUUGUCCGGAAUUAUUGGGCGUAAAGAGCUAGUAGGCGGUCUGUCGCGUCUGCUGUGAAAACUCGGGGCUUAACCCCGGGCCUGCAGUGGGUACGGGCAGACUAGAGUGCGGUAGGGGAGACUGGAAUUCCUGGUGUAGCGGUGAAAUGCGCAGAUAUCAGGAGGAACACCGGUGGCGAAGGCGGGUCUCUGGGCCGUAACUGACGCUGAGGAGCGAAAGCAUGGGGAGCGAACAGG